rnacentral:misc_RNA from 1 species
GUUUUUACAUUUUUUGCAACAUAAAAUAAAUACAAUAAAGCUUAUAUUGUGCAUCCGGAUUGCUCCGGAGCGCAUAUUGCACAAGGUGCAACUGAUUUGUUAAUGAUCCUUCCGCAGGUUCACCUACGGAAA